GAUGAACGCUAGCUACAGGCUUAACACAUGCAAGUCGAGGGACCGGCGCACGGGUGAGUAACACGUAUCCAACCUGCCCUUUACUCGGGGAUAGCCUUUAGAAAGAAAGAUUAAUACCCGAUCUAAAGGAUGGGGAUGCGUUCCAUUAGGUUGUUGGUGAGGUAACGGCUCACCAAGCCCUCGAUGGAUAGGGGUUCUGAGAGGAAGCUCACCCAGAAUGGAACUGAGACACGGUCCAAACUCGGAGGGGAGAGAGCGGAGAUGUAGAUUAGUCACUGGACGUUGGCCUGACCAUGCCAAGUAGCGUAAAGAGUGAAUGCUUAUGAAUCGUAAACUUCUUUUGUAGAAGAAUAGGUAUUAUAGGAAUAAGGAUCGGCUAACUCCGUGCCAGCAGCCGCGGUAAUAC
rnacentral:rRNA from 1 species